CUGCGUAGGGGCGGCUGUGCGCAUGCGCACAUCGGGAGUGGUGCUUGGAGGGGCCACCUCCUCACCGCGCCCGCAAGAGGCUGGGGGCUUGUCCCCGGUGUUGGCCGUACCCUGCGCGACCCAGUCUUGUCGUUUCGGGGCUUCGUUACCAGAGCCCCGUGAAUCCUUUGCUAGAUGCUUAAAAACAUUUUCCCCAUUGUACAUAGAUGUUUCCACGAGAAUAAAAAGCUUUACAUUUAUUUGAGGCCUGCUUGGGCCUAUCCGCAGCUCCACCGUAGUGCUAAUCCCCUCCCAGUCCUGGGACAGCCCCGGUGAUGUAUUUAAUAGUAUUCUUUUAGCCCAACGCGAGAGUGUUUUCGUCUGGUUGUUUUUGUUUUUCGUUGUUAGAGACAGUCUCGCUAUAUUACCCAGGCUGGAGUGCAGUGGCAAGAUCUCGGCUCACUGCAGUCUUGAACUCCUGGGCUCAAGUGAUCCUCCCACCUUGGCCUCCCAAAGUGCUGGAAUUACAGUUGCACUGUGGUGGUCACAGGAGCUGUCCUGCACCUUGCACAUGUGGCCAUGAACAAGACUUGCUCCUUGCUCUCAUGGGGCCUUCAUUGCAGUGAGACACAAAUGCAAACACAAAAUUCCAGAAGAGUGCUAAGUGCUAUCAUGAGAAACGAAGCCAGGCUGGAAGAUGGGCUCUGACCCCAGAAAACCGAUGGAGAGACCCAAGCAGCCUUGGGAGCAACAGUGCAGGUGUCUCUGAGUGCCCCUUGACCACACCCCGAGGAUUGUGGCAGUGUCCUGGCCAUGUGUGGAAGGAUCGAAGGGCAGCAGGUGCAGCCUUGCUCUGCACAUGGACAGCAGCC